rnacentral:rRNA from 1 species
GACGAACGCUGGCGGCGUGCUUAACACAUGCAAGUCGAACGGAAAGGCCUCUUUCGUGGGGUACUCUAGUGGCGAACGGGUGAGUAACACGUGAGUAACCUGCCCUUGACUUUGGGAUAACUUCAGGAAACUGGGGCUAAUACCGGAUAGGAGCUCCUGCUGCAUGGUGGGGGUUGGAAAGUUUUGGCGGUUGGGGAUGGACUCGCGGCGUAUCAGCUUGUUGGUGGGGUAGUGGCUUACCAAGGCUUUGUCGGGUAGCCGGCCUGAGAGGGUGACCGGCCAAAUUGGGACUGAGAUAAGGCCCAGACUCCUAAGGGAGGCAGCAGUGGGGAAUAUUGCAAAAAGGGUCGAAGCCUGAUGCAGCAAAGCCGUGUGCGGGAAGACGGCCUUCGGGUUGGAAACCGGUUUCGCUCAUGACGAAGCUUUGUGUGACGGUAGUGGGUAAAGAAGCACCGGCUAACUACGUG